AGCGAACGCUGGCGGCAGGCCUAACACAUGCAAGUCGAACGGACCCUUCGGGGUUAGUGGCGGACGGGUGAGUAACACGUGGGAACGUGCCUUUAGGUUCGGAAUAGCUCCUGGAAACGGGUGGUAAUGCCGAAUGUGCCCUUCGGGGGAAAGAUUUAUCGCCUUUAGAGCGGCCCGCGUCUGAUUAGCUAGUUGGUGAGGUAACGGCUCACCAAGGCGACGAUCAGUAGCUGGUCUGAGAGGAUGACCAGCCACACCGGGACUGAGACACGGCCCAGACUCCUACGGGAGGCAGCAGUGGGGAAUCUUGCGCAAUGGGCGAAAGCCUGACGCAGCCAUGCCGCGUGAAUGAUGAAGGUCUUAGGAUUGUAAAUUCUUUACACCGGGGACGAUAAUGACGUACCCGGAGAAGAAGCCC
rnacentral:rRNA from 1 species